rnacentral:misc_RNA from 1 species
AUUGGAGCAAGUGUGUGAUGAAUUAGCUAGAGGUCUUGGAGAAGAUAGAGCUGAGAUGGAAGAAUUGAAGAGACGAUCUGCUAAAAUCCGGGAAGAGGUGGAAAUGGAACAGAAAGUACUUCAACUAGCUGAUGUCAUGCGGGAGGAAAGAGUUCAAAUGAAGCUAUCAGAAGCCAAAUAUCAAUUUAAGGAGAAAAAUACAGUUGUGGAUGAGUUAAGGAAUGAACUUGAAGCAUAUUUGAGAUCCAAAAAGGGCCAAGAACAAGGCUGUGAUUCGCUGAAUUAUGAA